UUAGAAAGAUUGAACAAAGCAACAAGUCGUCACCUUCAUCUCGUGCCUGCUUGCCAUGUGUUCGAGUCAACCUUCAAGAAUCAAGCCUCAACGGCCCUUGAAGAAAUAUCCAGCCCAAUUCAAGAUCAAGCCUCGAUGGCCCUUGGAUCGACAUCUACAGUAAGGGACUUCAAAACGCAUCUCCUACACGUGACAAGCACAUGUGUACGACGCGCCUUGAAGUGGGGGCAUUUGUAGACAUCGAAAUUUCAGUAAAUAAAUGUUGACUGAUAAAUCAAAGUUUCAACGCUCAUGUAUUACAUAAAUUUUACACGUAGCGUGUGUCUAAACAAAAAAU
rnacentral:lncRNA from 1 species